rnacentral:rRNA from 1 species
AAAGUUGGUUCUUCUCGCCUGCUUUCCCACUGAAGCUAAGCAUGGUUGAGCCUGGUCAGUACCUGGAUGGGAGACCUCCAGGAGAAAACUAUGGCUGCUGAUACUA